UUCAAUUCGCUGUCGGAGCCCAACCCUUGCAGGAGACCCAACCCCGAACCCCUAUCACUCUCCUCAUCUUCUCUCUUCCUCCGUCCCUCUCUCCGCCAUCCCAAUCUUCAUCAACAGUGGCAGCCCCAAUCCCCCUUGAAGAAUCUAAACGAAUGGAAGAAUCUGGUAGAAAUACUAUUCAGUAUGUUGAUAGGUGUGGUGUGAUUUUGUUUAACUUUUUAGGUUGCUAUGGCACAAUCAAGUGGAUUGGCCCCUCCUCUCUCUCCUCUUAUUCUAUAAUAGGUUCAGUUUCCUCGAAACAGAAAGAUCAGUGUUAUGCUCCAUAAUGAAUAGGACUACAAUGUCCUCUGUGUUCAUGGGGAUUGGGUUGAAAAAGCUAUGGAGCUCAAGAGGAUAAAUAAGAGUACAUUACUCCGAUGGAAUUGUAAUAAGUACAUAGAAGUUGAUACAUGGACAUUUCAAAAUGUGAUGGAAAACAAGUUUGAAGGUGUCCAAGAGCUUUAGAGGCGUCCAAGUACUUUUUCUAAAGGCGUCUAAGUUUUUGUAGAGGCGUCCAAGUUUGAAGACAUUAUAUGGCAUACAUUUUGUAAAGUUGACAAAAAGUACUUUUGUAAAGCACUUUUGUAAAGCUUGAUGUUAACCACUUUUGUAUUCUUGAUGUUAACCACUUUUGUAAAGCUUCCUACUGAUAUGUAUUUUAAUGGAUUUCUAAUAUUUUUGUAAAGUCUCUUA